rnacentral:misc_RNA from 1 species
UGUAGGGGAUAUAGGUUUAAUUUUUGGUUUGGGAAGAUUUUAUAUGUUGUGGGGUUAUUAAUUUUAUGUGUUAUAAUUAUUGAAGUUUAUGUGUUUUAGAGUUUAUGUUUUAUAAUAAGAGAAGUUAUUAUAGGGAGAAGUUUACGUAUUGUAAUUAGAGAUUAGUUUUUAUUUGUCGUAAUUAGAGAAAGAUUGUAUAUAGUAAUGA